rnacentral:rRNA from 1 species
ACGGAGGGUGCAAGCGUUGUUCGGAAUUACUGGGCGUAAAGCGCGCGUAGGCGGCUUUUUAAGUCAGAUGUGAAAGUCCUCGGCUCAACCGAGGAAGUGCAUUUGAAACUGGGGAGCUUGAGUACUGGAGGGGAUGGUGGAAUUCCCGGUGUAGAGGUGAAAUUCGUAGAUAUCGGGAGGAAUACCGGUGGCGAAGGCGACCAUCUGGCCAGAUACUGACGCUGAGGUGCGAAAGCGUGGGGAGCAAACAGG